rnacentral:rRNA from 1 species
GCGCCGGCUCCCUUUUAAAGGGGGAGGUAGACAAGAAAUAACAAUACAGAACCUUACGGUUUUGUAAUUGGAAUGAGUUAAGUAUAAACCCCUUAACAAGUAUCAAUUGGAGGGCAAGUCUGGUGCCAGCAGCCGCGGUAAUUCCAGCUCCAAUAGCGUAUAUUAAAGUUGUUGCAGUUAAAAAGCUCGUAGUUAAUCUUCUGUUAAUUUUUAUAUAUAAUAUUUCGAUAUUUAUAUAAUAUUAACAUAAUUCAUAUUACUUUUUAGUAUAUGAAACUUUACUUUGAGAAAAUUAGAGUGCUUAAAGCAGGCUAUUGCCUUGAAUACUCCAGCAUGGAAUAAUAUUAAGGAUUUUUAUUCUUCUUAUUGGUUCUAGAAUAAAAAUGAUGAUUAAUAGGAACAGUUGGGGGCAUUUGUAUUUAACAGUCAGAGGUGAAAUUCUUAGAUUUGUUAAAGACAAACUACUGCGAAAGCAUUUGCCAAGGAUGUUUUCAUUAAUCAAGAACGAAAGUUAGGGGAUCGAAGACGAUCAGAUACCGUCGUAGUCUAACCAUAAGCAGCAGGUCAGU